GGAGAGGUGUCCGAGCUGGCCGAAGGGGCGUGACUGGAAAUCACGUGUACGGGAAACCGUACCGAGGGUUCGAAUCCCUCCCUCUCCGCCA
rnacentral:tRNA from 1 species